rnacentral:rRNA from 1 species
UUCCAGCUCCAAUAGUAUACAUUAAAGUUGUUGCAGUUAAAACGCUCGUAGUCGGAAGGUGGGGGGCUGGGCGCGGAGCAGGGAGACCUGGAUCUGCGACUGGCCUCUUUCGGCAGGUGCAUAAAACACCCGCCGCGUUACUGUGAGGAAAUUAGAGUGUUCAAAGCAGGCGUACGCUUGGAUAGGUUAGCAUGGAAUAACGGAGAGGUCCGUUGGUUGGAGCUUGGGUUGAUAGGGACAGUUGGGGGCA